AGCAGCCGCGGUAAUUCCAGCUCCAAUAGCGUAUAUUAAAGUUGUUGCAGUUAAAAAGCUCGUAGUUGAAUUUCGGGAUCGGCAUGUUGGUCGUGCCUUACGGGGUAUGAACUGACAUCGUCGAUUUCUACCUUCUGGAGAAUCGCGGUGCCCUUAAUUGGGUGUCGUGUGGAUCCAGGACCUUUACCUUGAAAAAUUAGAGUGUUUAAAGCAGGCAUUUUGCUCGAAUACAUUAGCAUGGAAUAAUAAAAUAGGACGGUUUGGUCCUAUUUUGUUGGUUUCUAGGAUCACCGUAAUGAUUAAUAGGGAUAGUUGGGGGCAUUAGUAUUCAAUUGUCAGAGGUGAAAUUCUUGGAUUUAUUGAAGACUAACUACUGCGAAAGCAUUUGCCAAGGAUGUUUUCAUUAAUCAAGAACGAAAGUUAGGGGAUCGAAGACGAUCAGAUACCGUC
rnacentral:rRNA from 1 species